rnacentral:rRNA from 1 species
AUUGAACGCUGGCGGAAUGCUUUACACAUGCAAGUCGAACGGUAACAGGUUAAGCUGACGAGUGGCGAACGGGUGAGUAAUACAUCGGAACGUGCCCAGUCGUGGGGGAUAACGUAGAGAAAUUUACGCUAAUACCGCAUACGAUCUAAGGAUGAAAGCGGGGGACCGUAAGGCCUCGCGCGAUUGGAGCGGCCGAUGUCAGAUUAGGUAGUUGGUGGGGUAAAGGCCUACCAAGCCGACGAUCUGUAGCUGGUCUGAGAGGACGACCAGCCACACUGGGACUGAGACACGGCCCAGACUCCUACGGGAGGCAGCAGUGGGGAAUUUUGGACAAUGGGCGCAAGCCUGAUCCAGCCAUUCCGCGUGCAGGAUGAAGGCCCUCGGGUUGUAAACUGCUUUUGUACAGAACGAAAAGGUCUGGGUUAAUACCCUGGGCUCAUGACGGUACUGUAAGAAUAAGCACCGGCUAACUACGUGCCAGCCGCCGCCGUAA